rnacentral:RNase_P_RNA from 1 species
UCAGUCGGCCGGACGGCCGCUCUCGCAAGGAUCGAAAGGUCGCGGGGGAGGAAAGUCCGGGCUCCAUCGACAUACGGUGCCGGAUAACGUCCGGCGGGGGCGACCCCAGGGACAGUGCCACAGAGAACGAACCGCCUUUGUUUCGAUAAAGGUAAGGGUGAAAAGGUGCGGUAAGAGCGCACCGGAUGUCCGGCAACGGAGAUCGCAUGGCAAACCCCACCGGGAGCAAGACCGAAUAGGGACGGCAUAGCGGCAAGUUCGUUUUCGAACGAUAACUCCGCGGGGCGAUGUCAGGCUCGCUGUCCGGGUAGGUUGCUUGAGGCGCGGGGUAACUCGCGUCCCAGAGGAAUGGCCGUCACGUCUUGAACGGUGCGAACCAUUCAGGGCCCUACAGAACCCGGCUUACAGGCUGGCUGACGAC